AUUGAACGCUGGCGGCAGGCUUAACACAUGCAAGUCGAGCGGGGUGAUGGUGCUUGCACUAUCACUUAGCGGCGGACGGGUGAGUAAUGCUUAGGAAUCUGCCUAUUAGUGGGGGACAACAUCUCGAAAGGGAUGCUAAUACCGCAUACGUCCUACGGGAGAAAGCAGGGGAUCACUUGUCACCUUGCGCUCAUAGAUGAGCCUAAGUCGGAUUAGCUAGUUGUGGGGGUAAAGGCCUACAAAGGCGACGAUCUGUAGCGGGUCUGAGAGGAUGAUCCGCAACACUUGGACUGAGACACGGCCCAGACUCCUACGGGAGGCAGCAGUGGGGAAUAUUGGACAAUGGGGGGAACCCUGAUCCAGCCAUGCCGCGUGUGUGAAGAAGGCCUUAUGGUUGUAAAGCACUUUAAGCGAGGAGGAGGCUUACCUAGUUAAUACCUGGGAUAAGUGGACGUUACUCGCAGAAUAAGCACCGGCUAACUCUGUGCCAGCCGCCGCCGUAA
rnacentral:rRNA from 1 species